GAUGAACGCUAGCGGCAGGCUUAAUACAUGCAAGUCGAGGGGCAGCACGGUUAGCAAUAACUGGUGGCGACCGGCGCACGGGUGCGUAACACGUAUACAAUCUACCUUAAACAGGGGGAUAGCCUUUCGAAAGAGAGAUUAAUACCCCGUAAUAAAUUGAACGGCAUCGUUUGAUUUUGAAAGCUCCGGCGGUUUGAGAUGAGUAUGCGUCUGAUUAGCUAGUUGGUGAGGUAACGGCUCACCAAGGCGACGAUCAGUAGGGGAUCUGAGAGGACUAACCCCCCACACUGGUACUGAGACACGGACCAGACUCCUACGGGAGGCAGCAGUAAGGAAUAUUGGUCAAUGGAGGCAACUCUGAACCAGCCAUGCCGCGUGCAGGAUGACGGCCCUAUGGGUUGUAAACUGCUUUUAUACAAGUAGAAAACCCUGGUACGUGUACCAGGUUGAUAGUAUUGUAAGAAUAAGCAUCGGCUAACUUCGUGCCAGCAGCCGCGGUAAU
rnacentral:rRNA from 1 species